AUUGAACGCUGGCGGCAUGCCUUACACAUGCAAGUCGAACGGUAACAGGUCUUCGGAUGCUGACGAGUGGCGAACGGGUGAGUAAUACAUCGGAACGUGCCUAGUAGUGGGGGAUAACUACUCGAAAGAGUGGCUAAUACCGUAUGAGAUCUACGGAUGAAAGCAGGGGAUCGCAAGACCUUGUGCUACUAGAGCGGCCGAUGGCAGAUUGGGUAGUUGGUGGGAUAAAAGCUUACCAAGCCGACGAUCUGGAGCUGGUCUGAGAGGACGAUCAGCCACACUGGGACUGAGCCACGGCCCAGACUCCUACGGGAGGCAGCAGUGGGGAAUUUUGGACAAUGGGCGCAAGCCUGAUCCAGCAAUGCCGCGUGCAGGAUGAAGGCCUUCGGGUUGUAAACUGCUUUUGUACGGAACGAAAAGCCCCGGGUUAAUACCCUGGGGUCAUGACGGUACCGUAAGAAUAAGCACCGGCUAACUACGUGCCAGCCGCCGCCGUAA
rnacentral:rRNA from 1 species